rnacentral:rRNA from 1 species
GAUGAACGCUAGCGGCAGGCCUAAUACAUGCAAGCCGAACGGCAAGAACUUUAGCAAUAGAGUUCCUAGAGUGGCGUAAGGGUGCGUAACACGUAUGCAAUCUGCCCGCAACAGGAGGAUAGCUCCCCGGAAAGGGGAAUUAAGACUCCAUAAGAUCACAGGAAGGCAUCUGAGAGUGAAUUAAACUACCGAGGGGUUGCGGAUGAGCAUGCGCAUGAUUAGUUAGUUGGCGGGGUAACGCCCACCAAGACGAUGAUCAUUAGGGGAACUGAGAGGUUGACUCCCCCACACUGGCACUGAGA